CUCCCCCUCCUCCUCACACAACACACAGCCAGCACUCCCCCUCCUCCUCACACAACACACAGCCAGCACUCCCCCUCCUCCUCACACAACACACAGCCAGCACUCCCAGCCCGGUGGCCAAACUCCUGCAGCAAGGGAGAGUCAUGUUACACCUCAGCCCCAACACAUACAAUAAAAACAAGAAAACCUUGACGUGGCGGGUGUGUUACCCUCUCAGCUAUUGGACUAACUAAGUA